rnacentral:lncRNA from 1 species
CUCCACCUGUGGAAGGGCUUGUUUUGCCUUGUAUUCUUCCAGAAUGGAAAGUGGCAUCAUCUGUUGACAAAAACAAGAACUAUCUAUCAAAAUAUUGUUAUAUAUAAAAUAAUUUAUUUUGAAAAUUUUGGCAUGAUUACUUUGGAUGGUAGAUAGUGACCUGCAAACUAUCAGAUAUAUUAUGUGAUAUGUCAGGGCCAGACAAUUGGGCUCUUUUUGAUGCCGGUCCCAUGACAAAAGUCUCAGAUGUCAUCCUCUCUCGGUGGUCCUGUGCAAAAACAUACUUUAAACAGAUUUUUGUGCAUGCUGAUAUAAAGCACAAAAUAUCAUUAUAUAGAUAUAAGUUUUUACUUAUCAGAUUCUGCUUCAGCAUAACAUCUAUGUUUAUUGCAGUUAUCAUGCUAAAAUAUGACAUCAGAAUAUUACAAUAAAAAAUUAUCAAUUUAAAGUUAAAAACCAAAUACAUAAUAUUUAGAAUAAAUUAACUAUUUUUUAAAAAAAGUUGCUAAUUUCCUAAUGAUUUCUUGAUUGUUCUCUUAUCAAUAUAUAAUAGCAGGGCCACUCUAGGGACAGACAACUAAGACAUUUGUCUGGGACGGAAAAAAUCUAAAGGCGGCAUUUUGGUUGUGAAUGUGACAAAAUAUUUAUAAGUUAAAUAUUUAAUUAAUUGAAAUUUAUAUUU